UGGGGAAUAUUGGGCAAUGGGGGCAACCCUGACCCAGCGACGCCGCGUGGGGGAAGACGGCCUUCGGGUUGUAAACCUCUUUUGUACGGGAAGAAGGAAGUGACGGUACUGUACGAAUAAGUCCUGGCUAACUACGUGCCAGCGGCCGCGGUAAUACGUAGGGGACGAGCGUUGUCCGGAAUUACUGGGCGUAAAGGGCGCGCAGGCUGUGCUGCAAGUCAGCUGUUAAAUGUCUGGGCUUAACCCGGGCAUGCGGUUGAGACUGCGGUGCUGGAGUGCUGUAGAGGCAAGUGGAAUUCCCAGUGUAGCGGUGAAAUGCGUAGAUAUUGGGAAGAACACCGGUGGCGAAGGCGACUUGCUGGGCAGCAACUGACGCUGAGGCAUGAAAGCCAGGGGAGCAAACGG
rnacentral:rRNA from 1 species